rnacentral:rRNA from 1 species
GAUGAACGCUGGCGGCGGGCUUAACACAUGCAAGUCGAACGGGCGUAGCAAUACGUCAGUGGCAGACGGGUGAGUAACACGUGGGAAUAUCCCUCUCAGUUCGGAAUAACUCAGGGAAACUUGAGCUAAUACCGGAUACGUCCUUCGGGAGAAAGAUUUAUCGCUGAGAGAUUAGCCCGCGUCUGAUUAGCUAGUUGGUGAGGUAAUGGCUCACCAAGGCGACGAUCAGUAGCUGGUCUGAGAGGAUGAUCAGCCACACUGGGACUGAGACACGGCCCAGACUCCUACGGGAGGCAGCAGUGGGGAAUAUUGGACAAUGGGGGCAACCCUGAUCCAGCCAUGCCGCGUGAGUGAUGAAGGCCUUAGGGUUGUAAAGCUCUUUUGCCAGGGAAGAUAAUGACUGUACCUGGAGAAUAAGCCCCGGCUAACUUCGUGCCAGCCGCCGCGGUAA